rnacentral:lncRNA from 1 species
ACAGCUUAAAUAUUAUAAUAAAAUACAACACUUACAAAUUAAAUUAUAUCUAAUUUGACUUUAGAUAUGUGUCCCAUAUCUUCUUAAUGGUUUCCUGAAGACUUCUGAGUUGGGAACUGUUGGAGCAAAUAGGUUUUCUUCAGGGAAAUCCAAAUGACAGCUCUUCAUCUGCUUACUUGGAUGAUGUUUUAUCAAUUACAUUUUCUGCCUUGAGG